rnacentral:lncRNA from 1 species
AAAAGACAUUUUCGGGGGGCAGGGGAUCGCAUUGGCGAAUUCGGUCGGGGGAAGGAGGAAGUUGGCAUUUCUGCUUUCGUCCAAUCAGAAAAGAGAUAGUGAGUUGAAUGUAUAAUAACUGGAAGGAUAUUUGUGUUCACUCGGGCUCUCUGUUGGAAAGAAACGAUGAGAUUUGCGUUUAUGCUUCUCUCGAUUGACGUUAGAUAGCUCAGUUGAUAUACAAGGCGGUGCUCUAGCGGCGCCCGGUCGCCUCAGGCGAUUAAUAUUUGGUCUCGGGCGACUGAAAAAGAAAACGGUCGCCCGUACGGGCGCAUAGAUUUCGGCUUGUGUGAAAACCCGAAACGAAACCAACAAACGUAUAGAAACGGAACGGAACGAAACAAAAAGAAACUCCAUCGUGCUCCCCGGCUCCCGUUAGCCCGAAAAGCAAAAGCGCUGAAAGCGCAGUGCAAUCAAUAGCCUGUGUGAUCUGUACAUUUAGGUUAAAUAUUAAGUUAGGUCAUGGGUCUUGUUUCGCUUCGGUGGUUUCUCUUCCGGUUUAUUAAUAUAGUACAUGGCCCAGGUUUCUUGUCCAUUGAACGACGCGAUAAAGCGAGUAACUGAUUGUAACUAACAUUUUAUAAUUUUACUUGCUAAUUUGAUGACAUUUGCAGAACUAAAAAAUAUUUGGCAUGACAAAAACAAGAAUUGUUCACGCUCAAAGUUGUCGCAUGUGUUAUGUAAUAUUGUUUCACAUGAUUUAGUACGAAAAAUUAUUUUUUCCUUGCCCGUGAGAAACUGCACGAUUUUUGCACAAGCAUGCGUUGAAGAUCUAAUUUUUCUAUUGAAGUGGUUGAUGCUUAUAUUUAAUUUUUGUGUUUCAACAAUUUCAAUAGUGGAGCGCGUGAUUAAUAAAACGAAAUCGUCCUUUAUGCAAAUUUAUGUUUAUUUGAUUAGCUUCGUCCGUGGUAUGCAAGAUGUUUAUCAGCACGAGCUGGAAGGCUGGGCGACCUACUUGUCAUGGUUAGGCGCCCGAAGGGGCGCCCUGAAAAUUUUCCUAGAGCACAGCCUUGAUAUAGUAUAUUUCUCGAUGGAAGGUUCACUCAUAAAUGUUCACUUAUCGAGAUCUCUCGUAAGGUUCGCGGACCGACCCGUUAAGGAUCGGAAACGCUCGAAAUCUUUUUGUGUGGGUCUACCGCGAACGUUGUGUGCGUAUAUUUUUAUACGUUUUGAGCGUAUUAUACACAGUAUUUGAGCUGAUUUCGCACCGCAAAAACCUCUCUCCAGCCGCCUUCACACCAUGCCAUGUGCCCUAAGUCAAAACGUCGCGCAUGCGUGUUAAGGACUCAAGUGCGAUUUCCAACUGAAUGAAAAAGAAAGACGAAGCCGGAAUUUUAUCUCGAGCGUUUCCUUUGGACAGUCCGAAUGAGAAGAAUCAGGCUUGAACAUUUUAUGGUUUCGUUUGGGUGUCUGCUGACUUUCACCCUUUCCUCUCUAUAUACAAAUUUUCAGAGCUUUAUUCAUAACCCUCAAAGAUUUUGUUCAUCUCAUGUCAACAAUUAUUAACCAUGAACACAUAAUACAGUAGUUGCCAAACUCAGUUGCCUCUCAUCCUUUAAUAAACUUGUUAAUUCACUUGAU